GAUGAACGCUGGCGGCGUGCCUAAUACAUGCAAGUCGAACGCACAGCGAAAGGUGCUUGCACCUUUCAAGUGAGUGGCGAACGGGUGAGUAACACGUGGACAACCUGCCUCAAGGCUGGGGAUAACAUUUGGAAACAGAUGCUAAUACCGAAUAAAACUCAGUGUCGCAUGACACAAAGUUAAAAGGCGCUUUGGCGUCACCUAGAGAUGGAUCCGCGGUGCAUUAGUUAGUUGGUGGGGGAAAGGCCUACCAAGACAAUGAUGCAUAGCCGAGUUGCGAGACUGAUCUGCCACGUUGGGACUGAGACACGGCCCAAACUCCUACGGGAGGCUGCAGUAGGGAAUCUUCCACAAUGGGCGAAAGCCUGAUGGAGCAACGCCGCGUGUGUGAUGAAGGCUUUCGGGUCGUAAAGCACUGUUGUAUGGGAAGAACAGCUAGAAUAGGGAAUGAUUUUAGUUUGACGGUACCAUACCAGAAAGGGACGGCUAAAUACGUGCCAGCCGCCGCCGUAA
rnacentral:rRNA from 1 species